rnacentral:rRNA from 1 species
AGGACGAACGCUUGCGACGUGCCUAAGAAAUGCAAGUCGAACGAGGUAGCAAUACCUAGUGGCGAACGGUCGCGUAACACGUGGGCAACCUGCCCCAGAGCGGGGGACAACAAGCCGAAAGGUUUGCUAAUACCGCAUGUGAUUAGGAGUGGCAUCACUUCUGUAUCAAAGCUUUAUGCACUCUGGGAUGGGCCCGCGGCCUAUCAGCUAGUUGGUGGGGUAACGCCUACCAAGGCAUCGACGGGUAGCUGGUCUGAGAGGACGAUCAGCCACACUGGGAUUGAGAACGGCCCAGACUCCUACGGGGGGCAGCAGUGAGGAAUUUUCGGCAAUGGGGGAAACCCUGACCGAGCAACGCCGCGUGCAGGAGGAAGGUCUUCGGAUCGUAAACUGCUUUUCUGUGGGAAGAGAACGGACGGUACCACAGGAAGAAGCCCCGGCUAACUACGUGCCAGCAGCCGC